AGGAAGGGGAGAGAUU
rnacentral:tRNA from 1 species